AACGGGUGAGUAACGCGUGAGGAACCUGCCUCAAAGAGGGGGACAACAGUUGGAAACGACUGCUAAUACCGCAUAAGCCCACGGCUCGGCAUCGAGCAGAGGGAAAAGGAGUGAUCCGCUUUGAGAUGGCCUCGCGUCCGAUUAGCUGGUUGGUGAGGUAACGGCCCACCAAGGCGACGAUCGGUAGCCGGACUGAGAGGUUGAACGGCCACAUUGGGACUGAGACACGGCCCAGACUCCUACGGGAGCAGCAUG
rnacentral:rRNA from 1 species